rnacentral:lncRNA from 1 species
GGAAGGAUUAUGAAAGUGUAUUUCAAAGUUGCGCUACAUGUGUGCUUAACCAAACUUAAUAUCUGCUUUAAUUCAUGUUCAAAUUUACUUUCACUUUGGAUUCUAUUUCCAGUUUUAACACAAUACUCUUUAUUUUAAUGAAUGCGUAUGCUAACACUUUCACACAUAAAAGUCUUAGAGCAAUUACCUUAGUAAGGUGCACAUUAAUCGACCGUCUGCUAGUGUAAAUGUCACAAAAUUCAGAUGGUCACUUCUAUAGGACUCAAUCCAAGUGUGUUGAUAUUUGAAGCAGUCCUUGACCAAAUAUGUUUAGGCUUACGCUUGCAAUGAUUCUUGCAAUACUUAACGUAUUCAACAUAGUAUUCGUUAUAUAAUAGAUAAUUAAGUUUGAUAAAGUUAUCAAUGAGACAACAACAAACAGUCAAGAAUGAAAACAGCUACAAAUGGUUGGUCAUCUAAUGGCAUUUCUUAAUGAGCAAAAUGCUUACCGUUUAAUCACGUAUAAAAUGUCAUGUCAAAACAAAAUGUGGAAAAUGUGGUAUGUUUGUUAUUCUCAUUGGAUUUUGUCUAAUGCUAAGUCCGUUUCUGUGUGUGUUACAUUUUAAUGUUGUGUCGUUGUUCUCCUCUUAUAUUUAAUGCGUUUCCCUCAGUUUUAGUUUAUUACCCCGAUUUUGUUUUUUGUCCAUGGAUUUAUGAGUUUUGAACAGCGGUAUACUACUGUUGCCUUUAUUUAUUCAAAAACAUUGAAUAUUUUUUUUACCCCAAACGUUCAAUGUCAGAAGCUGGAAUUAAUGGCCCUGCAGCAAAUUUUACCAAAAUUACCAACUGAUCAGACCAGAUAAAACAGAACAGCACCAGAUUUGAAACAAUAUAUCUGCUAAUCAUUUAUUUGUUAAAAGAAAUUAACUGAGGCACCUUCUUUGAUAUUACUAAAUAUACAUUUAGAGAAGCAGUAUCUGCUUCGUCUGUGGUGAUUUCAAAGUGUAUAUUAGUAGAAUUAAGAGAGUACCAUAAUUGUCGUGUUUUAACAUUGUUACAACAGGAAGUCUUGAAUAAACCGAGUGAUUCACAAGCACUAACACUCCCCGUUUGUUUGUCCACUCAAACAAAUGGGACUACUUGGAAUGUAACAAUCUAUAGAGGUACAGAUUAGACGACUGUUCUUGUAGGAAAAAUCCAAGACUGCGAAAACAAGCCAAAAUGUUUCGAGCCGAAUAAAAAUACAGCUGAUAUCUAUAUACAUUAAACAGUUUUUGUCUUUAUACUGAAAUUAAUUUUGUACAUUUUUUCCAUAUCAGAAUCAUUGAAUUUAUCUUCAAAAGAAAUCGAAACGAAUUAAACACAGACCGCAAUGUUGAUCCCACUUGAACUGUGACGUUAACAGAAAUUUUAUUUAACCGUUCGCUCGCAACAGUAGUAGGAUACUAGUAUACUAUAUACGUCUUGUAUACAAAUUCGCCUCGUGGUAUAUGUACACCUGUAUUAGUAUAGUAGAAAUGUCGAUUGCAGGAUAACAUGUAGUCUAUUGUUAGAAAAAGUUAAUGUCGCUAACCUCGUUUCACUUUUUAUACAAUAUAAAAACCUUGUCUGAUCUGUAGUAUUGUCAUUACAGAAGGUUGAAUACACUAUUUUGUUUUCAUCUCGUUUUUCAAUUUAUUGAUAAGAAUAAGAAUAUUUAUUAUUCCAAUCAAGGGCCCUUGAUGGGCAGCAUAACAUAUACACAUGAAAUAAUACAUCAUGAUUUGUAACAGAAAAACAUUUUUAUAUAAUAAAAUGAAACAUUAAAAAAAGUUCAGAC